AACAAACGCUGGCGGCGUGCCUAAUACAUGCAAGUCGAACGGGGAAAGUAGCAAUACGAGUACUAGUGGCGCACGGGUGAGUAACACGUAGGUAAUCUUCCUUGAAGCGGGGGAUAACUAGUCGAAAGAUUAGCUAAUACCCCAUAAGACCACAGGAUCUGCGGAUCUAGGGGUCAAAGGUUUUUCGCUUUAAGAUGAGCCUGCGCAAGAUUAGCUAGUUGGUGAGGUAAUGGCUCACCAAGGCUACGAUCUUUAACUGGUCUGAGAGGAUGAUCAGUCACACUGGAACUGAGACACGGUCCAGACUCCUACGGGAGGCAGCAGUAGGGAAUAUUGCACAAUGGAGGAAACUCUGAUGCAGCGACGCCGCGUGAGUGACGAAGGACUUCGGUUCGUAAAGCUCUGUUGCACGGGAAUAAGAAAGUGAAUGUACCGUGUGAGGAAGGGUCGGCUAACUUCGUGCCAGCCGCCGCCGUAA
rnacentral:rRNA from 1 species